GACGAACGCUGGCGGCGUGCUUAACACAUGCAAGUCGAACGGAAAGGCCAUGCUUUUGUGGGGUGCUCGAGUGGCGAACGGGUGAGUAACACGUGAGUAACCUGCCCUUGACUUUGGGAUAACAUCAGGAAACUGGGGCGAAUACCGGAUAGGAGCUCCUGCUGCGUGGGGGGGGUUGGAAAGUUUCGGCGGUGGGGGAUGGACUCGCGGCUUAUCAGCUUGUUGGUGGGGUAGUGGCUUACCAAGGCUUUGACGGGUAGCCGGCCUGAGAGGGUGACCGGCCACAUUGGGACUGCGAUACGGCCCAGACUCCUACGGGAGGCAGCAGUGGGGAAUAUUGCGCAAUGGGCGGAAGCCUGAUGCAGCAACGCCGCGUGCGGGAUGACGGCCUUCGGGUUGUAAACCGCUUUCGCCUGUGACGAAGCGUGAGUGACGGUAAUGGGUAAAGAAGCACCGGCUAACUACGUG
rnacentral:rRNA from 1 species